UGCGCCUUAUGCAUGCAAGUCGAGCGAAGCUUUUCAGUAGUUUACUACAGAAAAUGACUGAGCGGCGAACGGGUGAGUAACGCGUGAGCAAUCUACCUUAGUUACAGGGAUAGCCCGAGGAAACUCGGAUUAAUACCUGAUAUUCUUUAUAUUUCGCAUGAAAUUAAAAGGAAAGGUCAGCCGAACUAAGAUGAGCUCGCGUUCUAUCAGCUAGUUGGUGAGGUAAAAGCUCACCAAGGCUACGACGGAUAGCUGGUCUGAGAGGACGAUCAGCCACACUGGGACUGAGACACGGCCCAGACUCCUACGGGAGGCUGCAGCAGGGAAUAUUGCGCAAUGAGCGAAAGCUUGACGCAGCGACACCGCGUGUGGGAUGACGGAUCUAGGUUUGUAAACCACUUUCAGGAGGGAAGAAAAUGACGGUACCUCCACAAGAAGCCCCGGCCA
rnacentral:rRNA from 1 species